GGGAGUAUGAUGAAAGAAACAGACGGAUUCCCAUUGAUUUUAAUCGUGAGAACAACAACCAGCUACUUCUGACUCCU
rfam:Ipomoea nil DNA, scaffold: scaffold1334, cultivar: Tokyo-kokei standard.